UUCUCUUUAAAAGUUGCAGAUUUUGGAGAGUAAGGGAACACUUGGAGAAUUUAUGUCAAUCUUCAAGGCUUGUGAUCUCAGUUAGAAUGAUGAGGGUUCUUUCCCUGCAGCAUAUGCUUUCAUUCACAAGAUAAAUCCCUUGGUGCAGACUCAUUCUGUUCCAAAUAAUACUACUAUUCAUUUUAUUACAUUCAUUUUUAUAGGUGUGUUCAUCUUUUCUUGAUGUACUCUCUUAAAUCCCUUGGUGGAGACUUAUUCUAUUCCAAUUAUUUCCUUUUGAUGUACUCCAUGAAGUAUUUUUAUCAAGGACUGCCAUUUAUAGAUCCUGAGAGGAGGACUUCUCACUUUUGUUUUAAGAUGGACGUAGAAUUUACAAUUAAUAAGAUUCUACAUAAAGUUAUAAAAGUACUACCCCUUUUGUUGGGUCAAGCUUUAAUUUUUAUUGAAAAUUUGGAACAUCACAUUUCGUAACUUUUCUGAGAAAACAUACAUGCUAUAGAUAGUAUUUAAAUUACAUCAUGGCAUUUUAUAAGAACAAAUUAAAUAGCAGAAUUUUAGAAGUGGGCUUUAAAAUGCUUGUCACACAAUCCACUACUUGAUCUACCCAUUCUACAGUUCAUGCUUCAUCAACAGUUAUUCAAUCAGAUUCUGAUACAAGCGUGCUUUAUAUUCCGGGAGAAAAAUUAGAAGGGGUAGAGGAAAACGUAGAGAAGGGUUCUCAUGUGUGAUGAUUUCAUUCCAGGGGUACUUUGCAAGCUGAGCUGAGGUUAUUGUGCAUCUUGUCAAAGCUAUAGGGGAAACAUGAGCAAAUGCACUUCUUAAAUAACAAAGUGGAGGCAAGUGGUUAGGGUGUGUGUACAAACUCUUACUGGUGAUAAGAUUCGUCAGUUACGUUGGAAAACGCCAUUGUGAAAUGCGAAUGCAAUGACUGGAGAACACAAGUGUUUUCAUAGUGGUAUAAUUUGUUACUUUAUCUGUCAAUUGGCGUUUUGCUUAGUUUUCUUAUUUGUUUCAGUUUGUUUGAUGUUAAUACUUAAUAAUAUCUUAUAGAUGAUUCCAAAACAAAAAUGACUGUUCUUUUUUCUAUCUAUAAUCUCUGAAAGGAAAAAAAUGUACUUUGUGUGCCAUGAGAGCACAUUUCCUUUCUAAAUGAUACUUAUGUAAUAACAUUAACGGCUUCCGACUGUUUGCUUAUUGUAAUUUGCAAAUCAUUC